rnacentral:lncRNA from 1 species
UGCUUAUGUUCUCCCAUUUAUAUUUUACAUCACCGUAAAAGAAAAGUAAGAAAAAUAAAUGAUUCUAUCCCAAAUCAGUCAUCUUCUCCACAUGUUAUCAGAGCCAACCGACCCUUGGUUCUCUGUUAUCACAACCUAACCCUUUUUCUUUUUCUUUCUCUUUGACACCCAUGGUAGAUUCCAGAAGUAUGGAGGAACCAGGUGACCAAUCCUCCAUUCUCACAGAACUAAUUGCCAAAAUACCUGAAGUUUUGACCAAAACUCAACCCCAUACCCCAGCCACAGAGACUUCCGCUGCUCCUAUAGGCAUCAAGUUAGACGGCACCAAUUAUGCCACCUGGUUCCAGAUUGUUGAGAUAUACAUCUCCUGCAAAGACAAACUGGGCUUAUAUCAAUGGAGACCUUCCUCAACCACCUCUGACUAACCAGUCCUUUAAAAAAUGGCACUGACAAUGCCAUUGUCAAAGGAUGGUUGAUUAACUCCUUGAAACCAUUGUUAAUCAGUAACUUCAUACGAUUUCCUACAGCAAAACUUGUUUGGGACUUCAUUGAUACCACAUAUUUUGAUGGAAGUGAUACUUCUCAAGUAUACGACCUCAAGGCGUCGAGUUUCUCGUCUCCGACAGAAUAGAGGAUCUCUUGAAAAAUUUAGCGUGAAAUAGAUUUCCGUCAUCCAAAUCCCAUGGAAUGCCCGAAGGAUAUCAAACACUACAAUUCUAUCAUUCAGGAGGAUCGGGUGUAUACCUUUCUGGAUGGUCUUGAUGAUCGAUUGGAUAAAAUCAGGGGGGAUGUUCUUCAGCUACGUCCAUUCCCUACAGUUGAACAGGCAUACGCCCUUGUUCGUAGAGAAGCCAAUAGACAAGCCGUGAUGACCACAGAAAGCACCAAACCCAUGACAGGUGCUGUCUUAACUUCUAAAAGCCUUAAGUUAGGAUCAACGACCACAACUUCUACAUGAUCUGGAGGAGGAAAAUCAUCAAACAACAAAGCCACAAAUAAUGAACAGCAAUGCUCAUACUGUGGAAGCAAGAGACAUAGUCGAGAAACCUGUUUCAAAUUGAAUGGAUAUCCAGAAUGGUGGACUGAACUCCAAGCCAAAAAACCCAAAGAUGGAAUGGACAGAGGAAUGGGCAAGGCAAGAGUAGCUAAUGCAACGGCUGGUGAAGAUGCCACAUCUCACCUUUCUCUACCAUCCAAUGAAAUUGCCCAAGAAUCAGGUACCUAUAAUAAUACAGGAGUCACCCAAGAUUUUAACUCUCACUGGAAUAAAAAUAAAGCCAUGGAAAUUGGGCGUGUGUUUUACGGGAACACAACUUCAACAACUCACUGAAAUGAAACUAAAAAUCGGGGCAUUUGGCUACUAAAUUCUGGUGCAAGCGAUCAUAUGACUUUUGAUUCGGCUGAUUUUUCUGAAAUCUCUCUACAAAAAUGCACGCGUGUAGAAAAUGCUAACGGAGUGAUUUCUCCUGUCACAGGAGCCGACACUGUGAAUUUAUCCCCAAAUUUGAAAUUAUUUAGUACCCUUCUUGUUCUUUCUUUGUCUCAUAAAUUAUUAUCUGUCAGUCAGAUCACUGCAGAUUUAAAUUGUGUUGUACUUAUUUAUCCUACCUUUUGUUUACUUCAGGAUGUUCUCACGAAGGAGAUCAUUGGGCGUGGUACUAGAAGGGAGGACCUAUACUAUAUGGAGGAUUUCAAUUUAGGGCAAGCACAUCACAUGAAUCACCUCACCAGAACUAAUGAGAAACAGAUUUGGUUUUAGCAUCGUCGUUUGGGACAUCCGUCAUUUACCUAUAUGAAGUAUUUAUUUCCUAGUUUAUUUUCACAUACACAACUUGAUGACUUAAAAUGUAAUACUUACAUUUUAGCUAAAAGUCAUUGAGUCCCAUACCUAGUAAGAUCGAAUAAAAGUACUAUUCCAUUUGCACUAGUUCAUUCCGAUGUAUGGGGUCCUUCUCCAGUCUCUACUAUUUCUGGCAUACGAUGGUUUGUGGUUUUUGUAGAUGAUUGUACACGAAUGACCUGAUUAUAUUUGUUGAAAAAUAAAGAUGAAGUACUGAAUGUGUUCC